CCUGCUCCAGAGGCACUGUAGGUGUGGCUGCUGUGUCACAAGUGCAUCCGGAGGUUAUAGAGAGGGGGGAGGCCACAUCUAGACUCGGUGUCCUGACCUGUGAACAUCUGAACGAUUAGUAGCCCAACAGU